UUGUAUGUAAUGUGUCCUUUAUUUACUGUUUGUCUUCUGUGUGAUAGCACUCUAUGAUGGCGUAUACAAGCAGGUGGGCCGCAUGAUUGCUGUCUGUCUGGUACAUGGGGUGUAGAGCAACAUUUUUUCAAGGGCUAUACAGGCAAGUGUGUGGCCUACAACCUCCUGUGCCAGAACUGAAAGAAAUUGCGGAAUAUGACUUCAGAGAGAAGUUGGAGAAGAUUCAAAGAGGGUCUGAAGUGUCUAGGUCUCCUGCCUUACAUGAAUAGACACUCAAGCCUCUUCAGAGAGGUUUUCAUCUAUGCUGAGAAACCUCUUUUGGCCAAAGACAUAGCUUCUCUCUUCAAAGCAGAGUGCUCCCCACCUGGUACCAAUCAAAGAGCAAUAGAGAGACGAGUCAUAUGUUUCUGGAGGGACUGGCUUCUGGAGGUGGAAGGGGGGAACACAUACCCUUUAACCAUGGAGCAGGUUUUCAUUUUCACUUCGGGGGCUUCAGCAUUCCUAGGCUGGUAUUGCCAGUGGAGCCACAGCUACAGUUCUCUCUGCUACCGCACGGCAAGCGUUACCGUAGCGCCAAGUCUAGGUCCAAGAGGCUUCUAAUCAGAUUCUAUCCCCAAGCCAUAAGACUACUGAACAUCUAAUCAAAUGGCUGCCCAGACUAUUUGCUGCUACUCUAUCUAUGCAUUGUCACUUUAAUAUCUCUACCUACAUGUAUAUAUUAACUCGACUAACUGGUGCCCCCGCACAUUCUCUGUACCGGUAUCCCCUGUAUAUAGCCUCGCUAUUGUUAUUUUACUGAUGCUCUUUAAUGAUUUUCUUUUCUGUAGUUUUUUAAAAACUGCAUUGUUGGUUAAGCAUUUCACUGUAAGGUCUACUAUACCUGUUGUGUUUGGUGCAUGUGACAAAUACGAUUUAAUUUAAGGGGAAUUAUCCAAAAUGUUUAUUGCAUGACUACCUAGUAAGUCAGGAAUACAGCAGCCAAUGUUAAUUGGUGAUAUGUCACAAAAUAAUUGAUAUUAUGAAAGUUUCAUAUAAGAUUGUCCAUCAGCAAAAAAAAGUUGUGUAGUGAAAGUUUAAAAAAACAUUACAACCUUCCAAAAUCAAAUGGACACAGUAAUACAUAAUGCAGCUUUAAUAUUUAAAUAAAUGUAUGAUUUCAUAGAGUAGGUAAACUGAGCAUGAUGCAAAGUAGUUAAGUCAUGUAUGUCAAGGGACUAUGUUACAAUAUGUGCAAUGUUACCAUAAAUCUUACAGUAAAUAUGGACAUUUUGUUUACAUGUGUUAUGGAAAUAAAAGCAGACACUGUAGUUGGUACAUAGGUCGUGGUGCAGCAAGUUUGAGGGUGGUGGAGAAGCACAAGUGGGACUUUGAGUGAAGUAACUGAGGGCAGAAAAGGAUAUCAGGGUGCCCAGGAACUUGAAGCUGCUGAUCAUCUCCAUGUCAAUGUACAGUAGAUGAGAGAAUGGUCAAGUAUCACCAUCUACUUUGUUUUGCUUAAGCUAAGACUGUUGUCCUAUCACCAUUAUGUCAGGUCCCACAGCUCCUUCAUUUACUCAUGAUCAGGUGUACCAUGGUAGUGUCGGGUCCAUUCUGGGGAUACACAUUCUUGUGAUAAUGUAAAAAAUCUAAUUUGUUACUACAGGAUUUACACCCAGAGCCCUGAGUCUGCUAACCAGUUUGUGAGUCAGGAUGGGGAUGAAAGCAGAGCUAUAAAAGAAAAUGCACGCUGACGUAUGUAAAAUUGACAUUUGUUGGGACAAUAGGCAAACUGGAGAUGUUCCAGUUACAUUUUUGCUACUAUGUGCUACACGAUAUCUAUUGUUCCAGUUUCUUAAAUCGAUAUUGACUGGGCUGCAGUGGAGAUGGUAUAUGCUUCGAUAUCAUGGGGACCUAACUUCUAAUGUCCUUUCUUGGUACACCUACACAGACACUGCAGUCAAAAAUGCCAACCAGCGGCUCUCCGUCCUACGGUGGCUGAAGACAUUUUGCCUGACGUCAAACAUUAACGAGAGUUUCGGAUUGAGGUGUCUGGAAAAAAUUUAAACAGAACCAUAAGAGCAGAUUACUUUUUUUGUCAUCUUUACUGGCAGUUUAAAAAUGUCUAAUUGUAGUCCCUUUCAAUUGAUUAAUUGACUCCAAGAACCAUAGAUUGUUUGUAGUUCAUAACAUUAACACAACUGACAAAUGUUGAUUGACUGUAAAUUGGGAUACAUGUUUUAAUAACAUUGGAUAUUUGAUUGGGCUUAAUGUUGCAUACCUUGUAGUGUUGUGCAUGCUAACCAGGUGAGAAUCACCAGAAUUAAUUGAUACUUGAAGAAUCAGGUCUUCUCUGCUGCUUUAUCAGCCUUGCCCACUCCAAGCUCCCCUCCAGGAUUCCCUUC